AUGAUGGCGCAGAGAGGCGUCCUGCAUGGGCGGAAGCAGGGUUGCAAGAUCCUGUGGACCGUGCAGGAAUGAAAAUUCUGGCAGUAGUAGAAGCUUAAGAUUGGUGAGAAUCCAAUCCGCCGCAGGGGCUAGGUUUCCUCGACAAUGUUCGUCAGUCGAGGGUUAGUCGGUCCUAAGACGUACCGUAAUUCGAGUACGCCGAAAGGGAAACAGGUUAAUAUUCCUGUACCUGUAUCAAACAAUCCUGUCGCUUUCGGAUGGGCAUUGCGGAGUCAUCGCUCCGUCUAAGCCGGAUAUGAAAUUGGAGUACCGUAAUGGUGAGAAUUUUUCAAAACGGUGAUGGGGUAACAAUGCUGAUUCCAGGAGCCCGUGAAAAGGGUGAUACGGUCCGUACCGAGAACUGACACAGGUGCCCCUCGCUGAGAAGGCGAAGGCGUGUCGGGAGUAAAUGUGUUAAGGGAACUCGGCAAAUUAGCCCUGUAACUUUGGGAUAAAGGGUGCCUGCCCAGCGAUUGGGCAGGUCGCAGUGACAAGAUCGCUCCGACUGUCUAAUAACAACAUAGCAGACUGCAACUCCGAAAGGACUCGUAUAGUCUGUGAUUCCUGCCCAGUGCGAGUAUCUGAACACCGGGUUCAACCGGACGAAGGACUCGUAAACGGCGGGGGUAACGAUGACCCUCUUAAGGUAGCGUAGUACCUUGUCGCUUAAUUGGCGACUUGCAUGAAUGGAAUAACGAGAGCGAUACUGUCCCUAACACAUACCCGUUGAACCCUUUGUACUAGUGCAGAGACUAGUGACUCCUUAUGGGAAGUGAAGACCCCGUGGAGCUUUACUGCAGCCUGUCGUUGGGUUACGGUAUUACCUGCGCAGGGUAGAUGGGAGACGUCGAUCCAACCCUUGUGGGGGUUGGUUAGUCACCGAUGAGACACCAUCCUGGUUUUAUUGUAAUUCUAACUGAUUUAUCAGGACAUCGAUAGGUAGGCGGUUUGGGUGGGGCGCCACACCCUCGAAAAAAUAUCAAGGGUGCCCUAAGGUCAACUCAAGCGGGUCAGAAACCCGCUGAAGAGUGUCAAGAGCAAAAGUUGGCCUGACGCGAUUUCGCAUAGCAAGAAAUCGCGAGAGGAAACUCGGGUCUAACGAACCAAUACGUCCUGUUGAUGAGGGCUAUUGACUACAGAAAAGCUACCCCGGGGAUAACAGAGUCGUCGCCGGCAAGAGCACAUAUCGACCCGGCGGCUUGCUACCUCGAUGUCGGUUCUUUCCAUCCUGGCUGUGCAGCAGCAGCCAAGGGUGAGGUUGUUCGCCUAUUAAAGGGGAUCGUGAGCUGGGUUUAGACCGUCGUGAGACAGGUCGGUUACUAUCUAUAAGGAGUGUUGGAAGUCUGAAGGCAAGAAUGAAAUAGUACGAGAGGAACUUUCAUUCGGCGCCACUGGUCUACCGGUUGUCUGACAAGGCAACGCCGGGCAGCUACGCGCCAAGAGAUAAAAGCUGAAAGCAUCUAAGCUUGAAACUCAGCCUGAACAAGAGACUUCAUCAAAGACACGGGUAAAAGACCCGGUUGAUAGGUUCGGGAUGUACGCACGAAGGCAACGACGUGUUCAGUCCGCGAAUACUAAUCGUCUCAGC
rnacentral:rRNA from 1 species